UCCAGACUCCUACGGGAGGCAGCAGUGAGGAAUAUUGGUCAAUGGCCGCAGGGCUGAACCAGCCAAGUCGCGUGAGGGAUGACGGUCCUAUGGAUUGUAAACCUCUUUUGUCAGGGAGCAAAGGGCGCCACGUGUGGCGUUUUGCGAGUACCUGAAGAAAAAGCAUCGGCUAACUCCGUGCCAGCAGCCGCGGUAAUACGGAGGAUGCGAGCGUUAUCCGGAUUUAUUGGGUUUAAAGGGUGCGCAGGCGGAAUGUCAAGUCAGCGGUAAAAUUUCGGGGCUCAACCCCGUCGUGCCGUUGAAACUGGCGUUCUGGAGUGAGCGAGAAGUAUGCGGAAUGCGUGGUGUAGCGGUGAAAUGCAUAGAUAUCACGCAGAACUCCGAUUGCGAAGGCAGCAUACCGGCGCUCAACUGACGCUCAUGCACGAAAGCGUGGGUAUCGAACAGGAUUAGAUACCCUUGUACA
rnacentral:rRNA from 1 species